rnacentral:rRNA from 1 species
GAAACGACUGCUAAGACUGGAUAGGAGACAAGAAGGCAUCUUCUUGUUUUUAAAAGACCUAGCAAUAGGUAUGCUUAGGGAGGAGCUUGCGUCACAUUAGUUAGUUGGUGGGGUAAAGGCCUACCAAGACUAUGAUGUGUAGCCGGGCUGAGAGGUUGAACGGCCACAUUGGGACUGAGACACGGCCCAAACUCCUACGGGAGGCAGCAGUAGGGAAUUUUCGGCAAUGGAGGAAACUCUGACCGAGCAACGCCGCGUGAACGAUGAAGUAUUUCGGUACGUAAAGUUCUUUUAUUAGGGAAGAAUAAAUGAUGGAAAAAUCAUUCUGACGGUACCUAAUGAAUAAGCCCCGGCUAACUAUGUGCCAGCAGCCGCGGUAAUACAUAGGGGGCAAGCGUUAUCCGGAAUUAUUGGGCGUAAAGGGUGCGUAGGCGGUUAAAUAAGUUUAUGGUCUAAGUGCAAUGCUCAACAUUGUGAUGCUAUAAAAACUGUUUAGCUAGAGUAAGAUAGAGGCAAGUGGAAUUCCAUGUGUAGUGGUAAAAUGCGUAAAUAUAUGGAGGAACACCAGUAGCGAAGGCGGCUUGCUGGGUCUUUACUGACGCUGAGGCACGAAAGCGUGGGGAGCAAACAGGAUUAGAUACCCUGGUAGUCCACGCCGUAAACGAUGAGUACUAAACGUUGGGUAAAACCAGUGCUGAAGUUAACACAUUAAGUACUCCGCCUGAGUAGUACGUACGCAAGUAUGAAACUUAAAGGAAUUGACGGGACUCCGCACAAGCGGUGGAUCAUGUUGUUUAAUUCGAAGGUACCCGAAAAACCUCACCAGGUCUUGACAUGCUUCUGCAAAGCUGUAGAAACACAGUGGAGGUUAUCAGUUGCACAGGUGGUGCAUGGUUGUCGUCAGCUCGUGUCGUGAGAUGUUGGGUUAAGUCCCGCAACGAGCGCAACCCUUAUUGUUAGUUACCAGCACGUAAUGGUGGGGACUUUAGCAAGACUGCCAGUGAUAAAUUGGAGGAAGGUGGGGACGACGUCAAAUCAUCAUGCCCCUUAUGACCUGGGCUACAAACGUGAUACAAUGGCUGUUACAAAGGGUAGCUGAAGCGCAAGUUUUUGGCGAAUCUCAAAAAAACAGUCUCAGUUCGGAUUGAAGUCUGCAACUCGACUUCAUGAAGUUGGAAUCGCUAGUAAUCGCGAAUCAGCAUGUCGCGGUGAAUACGUUCGCGGGGUUUGUACACACCGCCCGUCAAAUCACGAA